rnacentral:lncRNA from 10 species
CUCUCCCAGCACACAACACUGGCCAUUCACAUUUCAGCUGCCAGAGGGCAGGAGGCCCGAGUGUGCCAGUCAUCAGUACUUACAGCUCCUUCCUCGUGCGGGACACUGCUGGGGUUGGGGCGUGGCAGGCGGUGAGGUGGAGGGUCCCAGCUCCUGAGCUCCAGCCUUCGAGGGAGACAGACUCAUGAAUCACCACCGUGCAAGUGCUGGGAAUAUUCCUGGGACAGGGAGCACACAUGGAGGCCUCUCCACGCCCAAGGAAGGGAAGGGACAGCACUGGAGGCACCAAACGGACAAGAGUUCGGUGCAGCUCAGAAACUGAAACAGGGGCUCCUGCUGGCUGCAGUGCAUGCGAUGGAUGGAGUGGCAGAAUGGGAGCCAGAGGACCCGAGAGGAGACCUGUGCAUGGGUCUAGGCCUCCCGAGGACCGAACGAGUCCUCAGACAGCACCAGGGAAUGGACCCUGGUCUGGGCCAGCCUCUCCUUCCAGGAUGAAGAAAUGAGGAAAAUCCAACAGUGGAACUCAUACAACUUUGAAGACCAGGAGGAAAAGAACUGUUUCCCUGAAAAUGCAAGGCGGCUUUGUCUACUUAGCUUCUCCAUUAGCUUGAAUUCAACCUGAAGGGUCUUUGCAUUUUGAUUUUAAUAGCAGUUGCAGCUUCCUAAAGAGGCCAGGAUCUUAACACGCCCCUCAGCAGUGUAUUAGAGACCUUUCUCCAUCUCCCUGCCAGCAAAGUGUGUUACAGUUUUCGUUAAAAUUCUUUAUGUGGCCUGAUGGGUGUAAUGAUGUCUCUGUUGUGCAAAUAUGCCCUUCCCUGGCUGCUCGUGACUUCAGGCAUCUUUUCAGCGAAUCAAAGUUUUCUGUUUGCUGCAGCAUCUUUCCUGCUGGAGUCUGUCAAUGCUCUGAGUGCAAGAUGAGAUGGUCUCAGAUAUUUUGUCCUCAGGGACUUGUGCGGUGCUUGGCAUGUCGUGGGACUCCAUGGACAGAUGGAGCGACACACUGGGGACUGACGAGGGGGCCCCCCACCCCUUUUCAGAAAUCACAUUGCUGUGUAAAAUUUUAUUUCACAAAUGGCUCUCUUGCUUAAAACUGUUUGAGAACUCAUACCUCUGUGCAAAACACUAAGCCGCCAGUAGUGAGAUGAAGCUCUCAGCUCCAGGAAGGGAGAUAUUGGAAAUCGGGGAAUGUUUCUGGCAACCUCAGCUUCCCAACACGUGGGUGGUCUUCGGAUCCACUUACACAUAAAACCCAGGCAAUGUUGAACUGUUUUAAAGGGAAAGGGGAGUAACGCGAGUGGAAGCGAUCAUGAAGUGUCUCUUUUCAUGCGGAACAUUCCAGUUGAGCCAUCUCACCAUUCUUAAGGAAGAAGGUUGAGGGAAGCAGUGGCGGAUGGGUGGUCUGGGCAAGGUGAGGUCACCCGGGGGCUCCCCCACCAGCUGAUGUAGGUGGAGAGACGGCCUUCACCUCCCUAGAAGCAGCAAAUGGGGCAUAUUCUCUUUUCUUGGUGGCUUCAAAGAGCACAGAAGAGUAUAUUUCCUGGUGUAAAUUCACUCGCAAGACUUGAUUCUUUUUCCUCCUGCCAAAGGAAUUUCCAUUCAGUAUCUUCUACUGGGGCAGAGUUUCUUUCAAGCAAUGCAUUUCCUGAGGAGUGAGACUGGCAAACUCUGUGGUCUUUGAUGAGCCUCACUGUUGAAGGGAAAACAGCCCUUUUCUUUCUUGUUCCUUCAACCCUCACUGACAGUAAUUGGCUGUUGCCUCUUACGAUUUCUCCAGAGAAAUGGAAAUAGCAGCUCAGAGUCCUAAAACAAUGUCCUUUGAUCUAAAAGUUCCAGGAAAUAAAACACCUUUGCAGUUAUGGAGUCCAGACAGGGACGCAUUUGCAGAAGGUCCCGGAGCUCGGCUGCUGCCCCUUGCACGUCAAGUGUGGCGUCCUCAGGCCACCAUGGGGAGUCCUCCACGCAGUCUGGCUCUCUUUCUGCUUGCAGACGUCUGCAAAUGACUCCACGGAUGACAUGCACCCUCACAGCCCACACCUCAGUGCGUGUCACAGUGACCUAUUCCUAGGACUAUUGCAACAGCCUCGAAGUGCCUCCUUUCCCAGACCUCUUCCUGCUCAAAUUCACCUUCACCUGCAUGGCAGAGCCUCCAUGUGAAGUGUGGAGAUUCCUCCAGAAGCAGCCAGGGAAAGCCAGCCGGAGCAGGGGCUGCUGGCAAGGUCUGGUUUUCCGGGUGCUGGAAGCCCAGCUCAUCCAGAGGACGGCCCAUCACACUGCAUUCUCGGGAAGACAGCAUCCCGUGUAAGGGGCUCCCCCCACCCCGUAUUCACAGACCUGACAGCAGGCAUGUUUGCUAGUCAGGUAAGAUGUAUCUGGCUGUUAUGGGCUGAGCUGUGUCCCACUCAAUUAAUAUAUUUUCAUAUAUUGAAGUUCUAACCUCAGUACCUCAGAGUGUGACUGUAUUUGGAGGCAGGGUCUUUAAAGAAGGAAUGAAGUUAUAGUGAGGUCACUGGAGUGGGCCCUAGUGACUGGUGUCCUUAUAGGAAGAGGAAAUUGGGACACAGCACCCAGGGAGGGAUGCCCAAGUGAGGACACAGCGGGAGGAUGGUGUCUACAAGCCAAGGGGAGAGACCUCAGAAGAAACCACUCCUGCUGCAACCUUGAUCUUGGACUUAGGGCCUCCAGAACUGUGAGGAUACCUGCUGUUCAAGCCCCUCGUCUGGGGUAUGUUGUCAUGACGGCCUGAGCGGGCUACCACACAGGCUGACUAGACCUCGGGCUGUUCUUUAACUUCUCGCAUAAGAUUAAAGGAUUCCUUUAGAUUGUCUAAACCACUGGUAGAAUGGGAAGUAGGUGUAGUGUAUUUAAACCAGUUAGUUACACAGAUUACACAGUGAACUCAAGUCAUGGUCCUCAGGCUGGGCUGCCUGUGGGGCUAUCUGGGGAGCUUUCACAAACACGAAGCUUGGGUCCCAUUUUCAUGGUUCUGGUUGAUUGGCCUGAGGUGCAGCCAGGGCUCUGCAAGCUUCACAGAUAAUUGUCACGCAUGGCCAUUCUGUGUGUUCUACAUCAGCCCCCAGGUCCCCAUCAAGAAAUGUGCUAGACACUCUCCUCCUGGAGGCCCAGAUGCUCUGCUUGGAGGCUGGGACCUCUCCGGGCGGUGUGUGUCUGUGAGGGGCUCUGCAAGGGGAUUAAAGACCCUUGUUGGCAAGAAGACUUAUUUCCUGUGCAGUGGAACAAUAUUCUCCUAGGCCACACACGCA